UACGAAGGGGGCUAGCGUUGCUCGGAAUCACUGGGCGUAAAGCGCACGUAGGCGGCUUUCUAAGUCAGGGGUGAAAUCCUGGAGCUCAACUCCAGAACUGCCUUUGAUACUGGAGAGCUUGAGUCCGGAAGAGGUGAGUGGAACUCCGAGUGUAGAGGUGAAAUUCGUAGAUAUCGGGAGGAACACCAGUGGCGAAGGCGGCGACCGUGGACGGACACGUGACG
rnacentral:rRNA from 1 species